rnacentral:rRNA from 1 species
CCUACGGGUGGCAGCAGUGAGGAAUAUUGGUCAAUGGGCGCGAGCCUGAACCAGCCAAGUCGCGUGAGGGAAGACGGUGCUAUGGAUUGUAAACCUCUUUUGUCGGGGAGCAAAAGACGCCACGCGUGGCGGACCGAGCGUACCCGAAGAAAAAGCAUCGGCCAACUCCGUGCCAGCAGCCGCGGUAAUACGGAGGAUGCGAGCGUUAUCCGGAUUUAGUGGGUGAAAAGGGGGCGUAGGCGGAAUGGCAAGUUGGGGGUAAAAGCUACGGGCUAAACCGGGGGCCGCACUUAAAACUGCAGUUCUUGAGGGAAGGAGAGGCAGGCGGAAUGCCGAGUGUAGCGGUGAAAUGCGUAGAUAUUAGGAGGAACACCAGUGGCGAAGGCGGCAUACUGGGCGUUUACUGACGCUGAGGCUCGAAAGUGUGGGUAGCAAACAGGAUUAGAUACCCCUGUAGUC